rnacentral:rRNA from 1 species
UGAGGAACAUGACCUUCGGCGGGGGAUAGCCGGCCCAACGGCCGGGUAAUACCGCGUACGACCACAUGGGGACAUCCCUGAGUGGUGAAAGCAGCAAUGCGCCGAUGGAGUGCCUCGCGGCCUAUCAGCUAGUUGGUGAGGUAACGGCUCACCAAGGCAACGACGGGUAGCUGGUCUGAGAGGAUGGCCAGCCACAUUGGAACUGAGACACGGUCCAGACUCUACGGGAGG